UACGUAGGUGGCAAGCGUUACUCGGAAUCACUAGGCGUAAAGCGCAGGUAGGCGGUUCGGUAAGUCUCUUGUGAAAGCUCCCGGCUCAACUGGGAGAGGUCAGGGAAACUACCGGGCUAGAGUGUGGCAGAGGAAGCUGGAAUUCCCGGUGUAGCGGUGAAAUGCGUAGAGAUCGGGAGGAAUACCUAUGGCGAAAGCAGGCUUCUGGGCCGUCACUGACGCUGAUCUGCGAAAGCUAGGGGAGCAAACAGG
rnacentral:rRNA from 1 species